rnacentral:rRNA from 1 species
UACAGGAGGUCCCAAGCGUUGUUCGGAUUCACUGGGCGUAAAGGGGUGCGCAGGUGGCAUUGGUAAGUUUGGUGUGAAAGCUUCGGCUUAACCCGGGAAAUGGCAUUGAAAACUACUGUGCUGGAGGAUCGGAGGGGGGACUGGAAUUCUUGGUGUAGCAGUGAAAUGCGUAGAUAUCAAGAGGAACACCAGUGGCGAAGGCGAGUCCCUGGACGAUACCUGACACUGAGGCAACGGAAGCCAAGGGAGCAAACAGG